GGCGGCAUGCCUUACACAUGCAAGUCGAACGGCAGCAACGGGUGCUUGCACCUGGUGGCGAGUUGGCGGACGGGUGAGUAAUACAUCGGAACGUAUCCAGAAGAGGGGGAUAACGCAUCGAAAGAUGUGCUAAUACCGCAUAUUCUCUGAGGAGGAAAGCAGGGGAUCGAAAGACCUUUGCGCUUUGGGAGCGGCCGAUGUCUGAUUAGCUAGUUGGUGGGGUAAAGGCCUCCAAGGCGACGAUCAGUAGUUGGUCUGAGAGGACGACCCAGCCACACUGGGACUGAGACACGGCCCAGACUCCUACGGGAGGCAGCAGUGGGGAAUUUUGGACAAUGGGCGCAAGCCUGAUCCAGCAAUGCCGCGUGAGUGAAGAAGGCCUUCGGGUUGUAAAGCUCUUUCAGUCGAGAAGAAAAAGCUGCAGUGAAUAACUGUAGUUCAUGACGGUAUCGACAGAAGAAGCACCGGCUAACUACGUG
rnacentral:rRNA from 1 species